UACGAGUGCACCGAGCGUUAUCCGGAAUUAUUGGGCCUAAAGCAUCCGUAGCCGGUUCUGCAAGUCCUCCGUUAAAUCCAGCUGCUCAACAGAUGGGCCGCGGAGGAUACUACAGAGCUAGGAGGCAGGAGAGGCAAGCGGUACUCAGUGGGUAGGGGUAAAAUCCGUUGAUCCAUUGAAGACCACCAGUGGCGAAGGCGGCUUGCCAGAAUGCGCUCGACGGUGAGGGAUGAAAGCUGGGGGAGCAAACCGG
rnacentral:rRNA from 1 species